GAUCAUGGCUCAGGAUGAACGCUGGCGGCGUGCCUAACACAUGCAAGUCGAGCGAAGCACUUGCGAAUGAUCCUUCGGGUGAUUUUGCUGGUGACUGAGCGGGCGACGGGGUGAAGGUAACCGCGUGGGUAACCUGCCUCAUACAGGGGGGAUAACAGUUAGAAAUGACUGCUAAUACCGCAUAACCCGAUAGGAUCGCAUGAUCCAGACGGAAAAGAUUUAUCGGU
rnacentral:rRNA from 1 species